rnacentral:rRNA from 1 species
CGACCGGCGCACGGGUGAGUAACGCGUAUCCAACUCCCCCACAGUAGAGGAUAGCCCGGCGAAAGUCGGAUUAAUACUCUAUGUUGAUUUUGAGGACAUCUGACGAAUACCAAAGGUUUACCGCUAUGGGAUGGGGAUGCGUCUGAUUAGGUAGUCGGCGGGGUAACGGCCCACCGAGCCAUCGAUCAGUAGGGGUUCUGAGAGGAAGGUCCCCCACAUUGGUACUGAGACACGGACCAAACUCCUACGGGAGGCAGCAGUGAGGAAUAUUGGUCAAUGGGCGCGAGCCUGAACCAGCCAAGUAGCGUGCAGGACGACUGCCCUAUGGGUUGUAAACCGCUUUUGCGAGGGAGCAAUAAGGUCCACGUGUGGGCCGAUGAGAGUACCUCGCGAAUAAGCAUCGGCUAACUCCGUGCCAGCAGCUGC